UACGUAGGUGGCAAGCGUUGUCCGGAUUUACUGGGCGUAAAGAGCGCGCAGGCGGUCGAUUUAGUCGCGUGUGAAAGCCCCCGGCUCAACUGGGGAGGGUCACGCGAUACUGAUCGACUCGAAGGCAGGAGAGGGUAGUGGAAUUCCCGGUGUAGUGGUGAAAUGCGUAGAUAUCGGGAGGAACACCAGUGGCGAAGGCGGCGAUCUGGACGAUGACUGACGCUGAGACGCGAAAGCGUGGGGAGCAAACAGG
rnacentral:rRNA from 1 species